UCAUCACAGGUGGAAACAAGGAUCACCUCAGGAACAAGACAAGUGAAGGACAUUUUGCAGGAGCCAAAUUCCAGACAACUGGUCUAGUCUGCAGCAACAGCAAAAAGAAAACAAACAAAAGCAACAGCUUUCCAUAUAGCUUCCAGCUACCUCUGGUACAGGACAUUGUGAAGGCUGUGAGGUGACGUGGGCUUGAAACCCAGCAAGUCCUAGGAUCCGACUGAAAAACUAACCCUGGUGGUAUGUUUUGGUGAGAUAAGUUCCUCGGUCUGAUUCAUCACCCAGAAGCACAAGGGCAGUGGCACGAGGCAGGGGUGGCUGUAGUGGGAGCAAGGAAUGUCACGGCGUCUGCUUCAACUACUGGCAAUGCUGACAGGCUGGUCCCGCUGAUUUCUUCAUCCCAGGGCAGGCUUCACUUGGACACGGUUCUCCCCAGCCUGGUUCACAGCCACGAUCACUCAGGACAGCUACAACCUCAUGGAAGAUGAUUUGGGGAAUUAUUCCCUAGAAGUGCUCGUGCUUUACUGCAGUUUCUGUUAGAGGCAAAGCAUCUGUGCAGAGAAAAGUCAGCCCUGUGAGAUGAUGAGCUGUCCUUUCGAGGAAAUGAGAUGAUCUGGAUUAGAGAAGCACUGAAAGAUAUUUCCCUGUGAUGCAAUCUGGAAAAGUUCUUCAGGUAACAGUUUCUUCUAAAACUCUGAAAUGACACAUCUGGGAAUGAGGCAAAUCUUUACCACUGUAUUCUUGAAAAAAAAAAAGAAAAAGUAGUAAGCAUUUUCAAAAGCAGAAAAGAUCAGUAAAUAGUAAACUCCUUAGCUGGCUGUCCGAGCAUUUUCCUCCGCUAUAGAGGCCCAUGUUCCUUCCAAACUAAGUUGAGCUGUCUGUGGAGAAGUGAAUGACGAGAGUAUCUGCCACGUGCACUAAUUUCUUGCAUAACCUUCAUGACAGGAAUUCAGAUUGCAAGUUAAAGCUGUGAACCACAGGGAGGGUAACAGUGCUCUGUUCUAAAGGUGAAUUUCUCUGUAUUCAGACCCUACUGCUUCAGGGAUAAUCAAUUUUACCUUUUUAUGCCAGGACUGCUUUGAAGCCAGGAUUUUCUUAUUGGACUUAUUUAUUUUCAAGGAUGUUCUUAUUGGACUCUGGAGAAUCCUUCAUACAUUUUCAUGACUCUUGGGUGUAUCUCCAUUUCUAGACGUCAGUUUGAGAAUGACACAAGUUGCAAAAGCUUUGCAUCCCUCGGAACUCUACCCUUCAAUUUGCACAAGAAAGCAGUUGUUCACUAAGACUCUGAAGUUCCAUCAUGCAAAGGCAGAGACUACAUCUAGGCUAGACAUU